CCUCCAUUUUGUGGCAUACAGAGUGUUGGCUGUUAUCUAUGGAGGUAUAUUAUACCUGGUGCUAUGUCUUCGAUGCCAGCUCUGACCUGGGCUGGAUCUAUCCUCCAUAACUGGCACAAGU